rnacentral:rRNA from 1 species
UUAAUUUUUGUAGGAAAAUCCGCAGAGAUUGUCGAAGGUGAUAGUAGGGAUCCCUCUGGGUGAACGAAAGACUCUAAGCCUGCUCCCAAGAAAAACUUCUAAGCUUCAGAUUAAUAUAAUCCGUACCGCAAACCGACACAGGUAGUCAAGAAGGAUAUUCUAAGGCGCUCGAGUGAUCCGUGGCUAAGGAAUUAGGCAAAUUAACCCCGUAACUUUGGAAUAAGGGGAUCCCGCGUUAGCGCGGGACGCAGAUAAAUGGCUCAGGCGACUGUUUAACAAAAACACAUGGCUUUGCAAAAUCGAAAGAUGAAGUAUAAGGCCUGACACCUGCCCGGUGCUGGAAGGUUAAGAGGAGAUGUCAGUCGCAAGACGAAGCAUUGAAUUGAAGCCCCAGUAAACGGCGGCCGUAACUAUAACGGUCCUAAGGUAGCGAAAUUCCUUGUCGGGUAAGUUCCGACCUGCACGAAUGGUGUAACGAUCUGAGCACUGUCUCAGCCACGAGCUCGGUGAAAUUGUAGUCUCGGUGAAGAUGCCGAGUACCCGCAACGGGACGGAAAGACCCCGUGCACCUUCACUAUAACUUAGCAUUGAUAUUGGAUUUUUGAUGUGUAGGAUAGGUGGGAGACUUUGAACCGGAGGCGCCAGCUUUCGGGGAGUCAACCUUGAAAUACCACCCUUUAAACAUUUGAUAUCUAACUCCUGGAUAGGAGGACAUUGCUUGGUGGGUAGUUUGACUGGGGUGGCCGCCUCCAAAAAAGUAUCGGAGGCUUCUAAAGGUACCCUCAACACGCUUGGUAACCGUGUGUAGAGUGCAAUGGCAUAAGGGUGCUUAACUGUAAGACCUACAAGUCAAGCAGAUACGAAAGUAGAGCAUAGUGAUCCGGUGGUUCCGAAUGGAAGGGCCAUCGCUCAAAGGAUAAAAGGUACGCCGGGGAUAACAGGCUGAUCUCCCCCAAGAGCUCACAUCGACGGGGAGGUUUGGCACCUCGAUGUCGGCUCGUCACGUCCUGGGGCUGGAGAAGGUCCCAAGGGUUGGGCUGUUCGCCCAUUAAAGUGGCACGCGAGCUGGGUUCAGAACGUCGCGAGACAGUUCGGUCCCUAUCUGUUGUGGGCGCUUGAAAUUUGAGAGGACCUGACCUUAGUACGAGAGGACCGGGUUGGACGAACCUCUAGUGUGCCAGUUGUAUCGCCAGAUGCAUCGCUGGGUAGCUAUGUUCGGACGAAAUAAGCGCUGAAAGCAUCUAAGCGCGAAAUUCACCUCAAGAUGAGAUUUCUUAGAAC